rnacentral:rRNA from 1 species
GACAGAGGGCGCAAACGUUGUUCGGAAUUACUGGGCGUAAAGCGCGUGUAGGCUGCUUGGCAAGUCGGAUGUAAAAGCCCUGGGCUCAACCCAGGAAGUGCAUUCGAAACUGCCGAGCUGGAGUCCUGGAGAGGAAGGCGGAAUUCUCGGUGUAGAGGUGAAAUUCGUAGAUAUCGAGAAGGAACACCGGUGGCGAAGGCGGCCUUCUGGACAGUGACGUGACGCUGAGACGCGAAA